rnacentral:rRNA from 1 species
UACAGAGGUCCCAAGCGUUACUGAGAAUCACUGGGUUUAAAGGGUGCGUAGGUGGUCCGUUAAGUCAGUUGUGAGAUCCCCGGGCUCAACCCGGGAACUGCUUCUGAUACUGGCGGACUUGAGGCCAGUAGGGGUCACUAGAACUGACGGUGGAGCGGUGAAAUGCGUAGAUAUCGUCAGGAAUGCCGGUGGUGAAGACGGGUGACUGGGCUGGUUCUGACACUGAGGCACGAAAGCGUGGGGAGCGAACGGG